rnacentral:lncRNA from 1 species
UGCACAAAACUAGAAAGUAAAAGACGGCAUAAAAAAUAUACACAAAAAAUAAAAUAAAAAUAAAAAUAUAUCUCCUUAAGCAACUCCUGAAUGCAGUGGCCUUGGGGUAUGCGUCAUGCUCAAACUCCGGUAAGUAAAUCCAUACGUAUAUGAGAAAACUUAAACCAACACUAUGUGAGAUAAUAACACUUCUUAUUAGACACAUGCAAGACAUGAUUGAAGCUAUUUUUGUAAAAUGACUUAUGUGGCCAAAAAAUGGCUGCAAGUGCAAAAUUUGGCUAAGACCCAACAAAGCCCAGAACCUAAGAUUUACUUGAAAGACCGGGCCCUAUGUGGAUUGCCUACAUAUCACGCCCCGAAAGACGAGAAUCAGGUAUGCAUAGUUCGGGCAGAUUGGAUACGGGCGAGAAAACAUAUUUUUUGCUUUUUCCUUGAAAAUGACGAAAAAUGCAAAGUUGUUUUGGAUUUUUUUUUCUUUUUCUUUUUUGAUUUUUAAAAAAUGAUUUAAAAAGUGCAAAAUCUUUUUGAAUUUUUCAUGCCCUUUGUUUUCCUUAAUACAAUGUGACAGAAAAUAUAAUUGGGUCCCACUCGCUUUAUCUUCACACUUCACUCUCUCUUUUUCUCUUUUUUACUUUUUUCUUUCUUUUUUCAUUAUUUUUUUUAAGUUUUUUUCAUUUACCCUCAACUAUCAUUGGUCUGCCAAAUGACCAUUAAAUAAAUGCAACAUGUAACACAUAAGAUGCAUCAGGAUGUUCUUUUAUUUUUGGGGUAUAUCUGUCCUAGACGAACCCAACCCUUGUGUUGAGUCCUCUAAGUCAAGUGCACAUGAUGCAAACAAUCUUUCCUACUAGUGAUCCGACAUGAGGUGAGUUAUUCUAGGUUCAAAACCUGGGCAUUUGUUCUAUACUUGUGCACCCGAGCAGACACUCGAGUUGAAGAGAGGGCUACGUACCGAGAACCAAAAGGUCAUCCGGCUUAGUAACUUGUCCAAACCUCUUUCUUAUUUCAAGGUAUGAAACUAAUAAAAUAAGGAGUCUCGGCCAACGAGCACACCCCCGAAGGUGAGAAGGCAAGGGUUUCAUAACAGUUUAUACAAUUCAGAUAAUAUCAAAGCGGCAAAAGAGCGACAUUUAGCAUAUUAGCCACAAACAUGUAAUAAAAUCAUAUAACAGAUAAAGCUAAAUAUAGAAAUUCAUCUAAGCUCGAAUUCUAUUCCCUAAACCAGAGAUUCUGGGUUCGAUCCCCAGCUGAGUCGCCAGAGAUAUCACACCUACAUUUUACACUACACCCCCGGAAGGGAGUGUAAGGGAGUUUUUUUCAACUUAAAAUGACAAACGAAACGAGAUUAUUUUAUUAAAUUUUUAGAGUCGCCACUUGGGAUAUUUUAUGGUGUCCCAAGUCACCGGUUCAAAUCCCAAAUCGAGGAAAAAUUGACUUUAUAUUACAGUUCGCGAACACUGAAUCCGGGUAAGGUAUACUAUUAACCCGGGAGGAGGGGUUCGGCAUUCUCGAGUUCUAUGGUUCUAGCGCGAUCGCUCAACUGUUAUUAUUGGCCUAAUUAUCUGAUUUUAAACAUUUUGAACCUAUGUGCAUUUUUACUCAUUUUAAAACCGCUCCUAUUCAUUUUUAAAGGAAGAUUGCAACGUCAUUAAAAAUAUAUUUCGAAUCACGUCGCAUAAAUACACUCACAAUAUGCAACACAUUUUAGUUAACUGAAUUUAGGCCACAUAAAUGCCACCCUAGUUUAGGAAGAUUAAUUGUUAAAAUAAUUCGCUUAAAACAACUGCGUGUUUUUAACUUUGCGAGGGCCAUGAAAAAUUCGCUAUAUAGCGCGCCUCGAGUUCUAAGAAUUUUAAAAGAAAUAAUUAAGCGAGGGCCACGCAUUUGAGAUUUUAUUUGGCGCGGUGCGCCUCAAUUCCAUUUUAAAGGGUAUUCAAACUAAAAUUUGGAGGACCAUAACUAUUUGUUUUAUCUAAUAUGACUCAUCUUAAUUUUAAAACCAUCAAGUGUUUAAAGAAAGAUGCAGGACCUCUAAUUACUCAACUAUUGCCUAAAGGAUUUGUUGAAGGCUAAAAGAAGGCACUACUUUAUUUUAAAGGAACGAUUAAACCCAUUCAAAGAGCCCAAUUCGUCGGGACAUGCACAUGUAGAAUGUUCAAAGGCUCACGCAUCGAACCUUCACAACAGCUGAAAGCUGCAUAUACAAAAUGCGUGCCAAAUUAGAUUUAAACAAGAAAAAAUAUUAAAAGUUUUGGGGCUUGAAGCGUGCCCAUUUCAGAUGAGGCACGCUUAAGUCAAGUGUCAAAAUAGGUCGCGGAUCGAACUCAUAAAACAACAAAGGCCAACAGGAUUUAGAAUGUGGUCAGCAGGAUAAUACUACUGAUUAAAUGAGCAAACAAAGAAAAAAAACAUUAAUCAACAAAGCAAAAAAACUGAGAUAGGCAUAGAAAUGAUGAUGCAAACCAAAGAGAAA